UUCCGGUUGAUCCUGCCGGAGGUCACUGCUAUCGGGGUUCGAUUAAGCCAUGCGAGUCGAGAGGGUUCAGACCCUCGGCGGACUGCUCAGUAACACGUGGAUAAUCUGCCCUAUGGUGGAGGAUAACCCCGGGAAACUGGGGAUAAUACUCCAUAAGUCAGGAGUACUGGAAUGUCUCCUAACUGAAAGUUUCGGCGCCAUAGGAUGAAUCUGCGGCCGAUUAGGUAGUUGUUGGGGUAACGGCCCAACAAGCCCGUAAUCGGUACGGGUUGUGGGAGCAAGAGCCCGGAGAUGGAAUCUGAGACACGAUUCCAGGCCCUACGGGGCGCAGCAGGCGCGAAAACUUUACAAUGCAGGAAACUGUGAUAAGGGAACCCCGAGUGCCCGUACACGCGGGCUGUCCCGGUGUUUAAAACACAUCGGAAGAAAGGGCCGGGCAAGACCGGUGCCAGCCGCCGCGGUAAUACCGGCGGCUCGAGUGGUGACCACUUUUAUUGGGCUUAAAGCGUUCGUAGCUUGAUUUUUAAGUCUCUUGGGAAAUCUCACGGCUUAACUGUGAGGCGUCUAAGAGAUACUGGGAAUCUAGGGACCGGGAGAGGUAAGAGGUACUUCAGGGGUAGAAGUGAAAUUCUGUAAUCCUUGAGGGACCACCGAUGGCGAAGGCAUCUUACCAGAACGGCUUCGACAGUGAGGAACGAAAGCUGGGGGAGCGAACGGGAUUAGAUACCCCGGUAGUCCCAGCCGUAAACUAUGCGCGUUAGGUGUGCCUGUAACUACGAGUUACCGGGGUGCCGAAGUGAAAACGUGAAACGUGCCGCCUGGGAAGUACGGUCGCAAGGCUGAAACUUAAAGGAAUUGGCGGGGGAGCACCACAACGGGUGGAGCCUGCGGUUUAAUUGG
rnacentral:rRNA from 1 species